rnacentral:rRNA from 1 species
UACGUAGGGUGCGAGCGUUGUCCGGAAUUAUUGGGCGUAAAGAGCUCGUAGGCGGCUUGUUACGUCGUUCGUGAAAACUUGGGGCUCAACCCCAAGCUUGCGGUCGAUACGGGCAGGCUAGAGUUCGGUAGGGGAGACUGGAAUUCCUGGUGUAGCGGUGAAAUGCGCAGAUAUCAGGAGGAACACCGGUGGCGAAGGCGGGUCUCUGGGCCGAUACCGACGCUGAGGAGCGAAAGCGUGGGGAGCGAACAGG